UCAACUGAAGUGGAACACUGAAAUGCUGUACUGAUUUUCAACAAAAGGACGGCUUUUGUAAACGAAAAGAAGCUGAAACAAGUGGAACAGAUGGAAUGGAUCCCAUUGCAGAAACAUUAUUCGUUGUCCUUGGAGUUUUUCUAGGGGUAGGACUGAUCUUGACAGUUCUCUUCGUCUAUAAGAGAUUAAAAUAUCAAAGAGGGUCAAGGUACAGCGUUUCUAUGUUUUCGCAGCCGGUAUAUGAUUAUACAAUUCAUGAAAGAGGAGCAGAAUUAAAUGUGAAACAUUACGUCAAUGAUACUGUUCCGAACAUCGAAGGAAGCGGGAGAAAUCCUGUAGCUAAUAAGCAGGAUAAUGAUUAUGUGGAAAUAAUUUGAAAGAUAUUACUAUUUACAUUUUCUGUAGAUUUUUUUUUUUUUUUU